rnacentral:tRNA from 1 species
GGGCCUCUAGCUCAGCUGGUUAGAGCAGCGGACUUUUAAUCCGCGGGUCGUGGGUUCGAGCCCCACGGGGCCUAC